GAAUUCUCAUCUGAUCAAAUCAGUAACAACGGAAGAAAAGGAAAAAAGAGAACACACCAAGAACACUCAUGGUUCUCUGUAUCAUUCUAGAUACGACUUAGAACCUUCUCGGCCGCUGCGAUGGUGAAUUGAAUGUCUUGUGGUGUGUGAGCCAGGCUAGUAAAACCGGCCUCGAAUUGAGACGGUGCAAAGUAGACACCUUCUUCCAACAUUCCUCUGAAAAACUUUCCAAACUUCUCUGUAUCGCUCUUCUUCGCGUCAGAGAAAUCGUAGACGGGUCCUUCUGUGAAGAAGAAACCAAACAUCCCGCUUAUGUAACCGCCACACAUCGCAUGCCCAGUUUUCUUUCCUGCUUCUAGUAUCCCAUUUGUAAGCUCCUUCGUGAUCUUGUCUAAAUACUCAUACGUCCCUGGCUGUCUUAACCGCUUCAGCGUGUGAAUACCAGCAGUCAUAGCCAGAGGAUUACCACUAAGCGUACCAGCUUGAUACAUUGGUCCUGCAGGUGCAACCUGUAACAAGAAUAUCAUCAGCAAAGUGUUCUCUACCAUCAAAAUUCAAGAGCUGUUUGGUAAUAUUUGAUCAUUUCUAACAAACUCAAAGCUUUACCAUUUCCAUAAUGUCUCUUCUUCCACCGUAUGCUCCUACGGGAAGACCACCACCGAUGAUUUUCCCGAGAGUUGUUAAAUCAGGUGUGAUUCCAAAGUAUUCUUGAGCUCCACCAUAGGCUAAACGAAAGCCAGUCAUGACUUCAUCAAAAAUGAGAAGAGCACCAUUGUCCUUAGUUAUCCGGCGUAUCCCAUCGAUGAACUCUGGUUUAGGUGUGAUGAAACCGGAGUUACCAACAACAGGUUCGAGAAUGAUGGCAGCGAUCUCGCCUUUGUUCGCCUCAAAGAGCUUCUCAACCGCAGCAAGAUCAUUGUACGGAGCUGUAAGAGUAUCUGAAGUAGCUGAUUUGGGGACACCGGGAGAGUCAGGUAGGCCUAGAGUGGCUACACCACUACCUGCUUUGACAAGAAACGAGUUUGCGUGGCCAUGGUAACAACCUUCAAACUUGAUGAACUUUUGCUUCCCUGUGAAAGCACGGGCGAGUCUGAGCACGCCCAUACAUGCUUCUGUACCGGAGUUGACAAACCGGACCAUUUCAAUGCUUGGAACAGCUGAAAUCACCAUCUCUGCAAGAACAUUCUCUAAGAGACAAGGAGCACCAAAGCUUGUUCCUUUCUUCAUCGUCUCAGCCAAAGCUGCAAGAACCUGCACUAGACCACAGGUUUCAAACUCAGCAUCUGAAAAUCGACGAAGUUGGGGAAAAUAAUCAAAGAGACGAACCCCGUCAUCGGCAUGGCCGAUUAUGGCAGGUCCCCAAGAUCCAACAUAGUCAAUGUAUUCAUUUCCAUCAAUGUCUCGCAUUCGUGAUCCUUUUGCGGAAUCAAUCACUACUGGUUGUCCACCGACUGAUUUGAAGGCCCGGACAGGUGAGUUCACGCCUCCAGGCAUUAGAUUCUUCCACAAAAGAAUGAAACGUUUUCAAUAAUCACAACACAAAAUGAAACCAUGAAAACAGAAACUCUUUUCUCAGAUUCUGAUUCCGUAUUUUCUGCAUUUCCUUUGAGCCACAACGAUAAUCAAUUCGAAUAAAAAUUCCGUCAAAGAUCACAAAAUAACCUCAUUUCUAGUUAAUUCAUCAACUUGAAUUCGCGAUUAAACUAUUCUCGAGACAAUCUAGAAAGCUGAUUUUACCCAAAAACUGAUCCAAUUCUCGUAAGAAACUCAUAUCAAUCGAACGGUAUUUAUCUAACAACGAUAAACUUCCAUGAAUCGAAACUGAGAAGGCUACCUUGGCAGCAUUGAAAGCUUCCUCGGAUUUCUGAAGAGUGAAGUUCUUCUUCUUCUCUUCUACCGAAACCGACAUCUUGAUGCAGCAACGAUUGGAGGAAGACGGAGCUUUCUUAGAGAUCUUUGAGGAACACGAAAAUCCAAGAGCAAUCCCCGAUCCCGUAAGCGUCGCCGCCAUUUUUGCUGUCUCUUUACGUCUCUCUCUCUCACUCGCGCUCGUAGUACAAGAGAGAGUCAACAAGAUAAGGCGACGAAACCGACCCGGUGGUUUUGUGGUUUUAAAUUGAGACCCGAUCCGGUUGGAUCCGAGCCCGGAAUCCAAAACUCAAGACAAAAAUUCGCAUGUUUUGACAUUUUUUUUUGUCUUCAAAAAUAAAUACCUUACUUAACUUUACUGACGAAUAUUUUCUGACAUUACAUAAACUAGAAGACCCCUUUCAAAAGUUACAUAUUUGUCAUUGCCACAUGUUUCCCUUUCAAAGAAUCUAUACCUCUGAUUUCCACUUGAUGUGCAUUUGGUUUUCAAGCAGGAGUGGGAUCGGCUCAAUUGUCAAGACCUGUUGGAACGUAUUCGUCUUCGGUAUUACCCUCUAGAUACUACCGAUGUGGAGAGUCCAUAAAUGGCAAGUUUCUGAGAUACCUAAUCUUUUUAGUAUAAACUAUUACAAUAAUAUGACUUUAAGGAUCACAUAAUUUAAGAAAUUUAUUAGUGAACUAAUUGGGGGACAGCUAUACAAUGAAGUAGAAGGACUCGAAGCUAUAGUGAGGAGAGUAAACUCUCUAGUGUUCCUAGUAUGGUGUUCCGCGGCCAAAUCACUCACCACGACCAAUCGUGGAAUGUGAAAAUCUUCAAACAUAGAACCAUGUACCAACAUACAGAUAAUCAAGAGAUUCGACGAAAAAAUGAGACUGUAGAGACUUUGGAAUAGAAAAACUACAUGCUUAACUUUAGAUUUUUUUUGGUUAUAUAAUAUUAUGCUUGAUCAUACAUCCAAAUCUACUGAGGGAUCCACAUAGGAAGGUGAAAUACUCGAAAAUAAUGAUUAUCCAAAAGAGUUGAAAAUAUUUGAUAGGAUUCAUUUUAAAUUUUCUAGCAAGUGUAAGGAAAAAUGUGCUAAAGUUCAUUUUGGUAGCAGCUCUACAUAUUUAUUCUCAAAUACAAGAUCGAAUCAUUGUGAAAUCUUUAAAAUUUUAUCAGUGAUCAUGUUUUAUACUACAUAAAAGAUUAAAACUCUAAUUCAAAGUCAUAUCUCAUCUCAUCACUUGAUGGUUUACACAAAGAUAAAUUUGGCUUGUUUGUAUAGGAUUAUAACUAGUUAUAUGGAAACAGUAAAGUUUUAUUUCUUAACGUAAAAUGCAAUUACAAUAAGAAAACAUAGAAACUUUUGUUUCAUAUGAGAUCUCUUGUGUUUAUUGAAAUUUGGUGAAUAAUUAAGUUAUGUCUUGAAGAAAAAGCUAAAAGCUGCUAGAGUAUGUAUAAAAUGAUAUUUAAACUUAAACAUAUCAUCUUCACCUUACAAGUAAACAAGUGAAAACUUUUAUUCUUAAAACAGAGUUUGGACAUGAAACACACUUUAAAUGUAAUACAACUUUCUACUAAAUGGUUUGAUAAAAUGUGUCAUGAGCAUUGCCCAAAAUCUGCAUUUUUGUGUUGUGUUAAUAAAUAUCCAUAUAGUUUUAGUGGAAAACAAAACUUUGAUUAUGUUGAUAUAUAAAAGCUUAAUUUUCUUCUUACCUAUAUCAAAGAUUGAAUUUUUUUGUUGAAAACCCAAAUUUGAUUCUGUAGAUGAAAAAACUUAAGACUUGUUUUUUUUCCUUAAAUCUACUGAAGACUUGGCACAUGCAGUAAUUCGACCAAGACUUUGGAUGAGAAACUAUUUGAAGCUAACUUUGGAGAAUUGCCACCCACCAAUGAAUCAUGGGAGCUAAACAAGGUAUCGUUCUCGAUAUCUUUUUAUUUUACUUUUUUGGAGAUUUUUCUCGUCUUAUCUCUGUAACUUAUUUUUUGGGUGAAAAUUACAGUUUGGUGGUGAAACCUUAGUUAUCGUGGAUUUAGAGAACUGUUUGAUCCCACAGGAGUUCCCUCCCAUCGAACGUCCAACCACGCUCGGCCAAGCAAUUAAGGAAUUCCACUAGCGUUUGGGCAUGACAGGAAAAAAACCCAUCCAGCGCCAGCCAACAUACACGUGAUCACGGGUGAUAAGGAUUUCGAGGAGGAUUUCGAGGAGGAUUUCAACAAAUUGAAAGUUCAGAGCUAUAGGGGAGCUGCCAGUUUUAUAUGAAAAUCAGGUUCCAUAAUUAUCAAGAAACUUCCAAUCACAAAGUUUUGUUGGACGCAAAGAAUCCUCCUCCUCUAUUAGUCUUUGCUUAACUAAAGAAAACAUUUUCUAUGUAAUCACAUGUUGAUAUAUGAAAAAUGGAACACAUUUUCCUAGUAACAACAUUCUUUAUACAUUAUUAUUACACUAAGAAGUAAAAGUUUGCUUCAUCAGAUCUAUAGUUUGAGACAAGGUAAGGAGCAAAGCAUGCGUACAAAAACAAACAUCAAAAAGUUGACAUUAUUUUGUUAUUGCACCGUAAGUUGAUCAAAAGGUCAGAAUUUAUCAACACCAACACCAGGCCGUAUCACCUCAUAAGCAUCUCUUCUCCUGCUUUUCUUCAUCCCAGCCGUGAAAUAAACCUUUGAGGCGUCUGCUGAAAUAGAGGUCACUUUCACCCAAAUCAUCACCUUUGUUUUCAAGCCUUCCACUUCCGCUUGCUUCCCUUUCUCCAGGUAACCCGUUACCGUAGUUGAAAACCGUAGGACCGAUGAAUCCCUGUAACCAACCUCGCAGGUCUCAGGGAUGAAGACAGUUAACUUACCUGUAUCUUCGUUGAACUCAUAGUUUGUAGCAUCCUGUGGAAAUAUCCCAACCGGUAGACCGAAUUCCUUCAGCAAUUCAGGCAAAGGCUUCUGCAUUUUUCUUAUUCAGAUCAAGAAUGACGCUGCAUUCAAUUGUCGAUAAUCCGUUUAUAAACCAUAAUAAACGAUAAACAUGACUACUCAACAUAUAUACUACAAGAACUUAAUUUGAAUAAAAUUGAAGAAACGCCUAAUCUUUACAAUUUACGUUAAAUUCAAUAUCUUUCAGAAUGCAGAAUACCACAUGGAAUAGUUGAGAAUCGCAACCUCCGGCUUAUUGAGUAACAAUAGAUUACAAAAUUGUGAAACAAGAACUGAGAAAGAUGUAACAAAAAAUAAAACCUUUGAUUUUGUUGACCAACCACUUGGUACCUCCUUCAAUACUGCUCGACAAUGACUGCAAGAAUGAAUCCAAAUGUCAUCAGACUCAGGAAACUUUUGUCUCAAGAGAUCGAAAGCUAUAAACUUUUUCAUGAUAUGUUACAAUAAACACAGAUUGUAAUUGUAACAUUAAACCCAACUGUGUAACUAUAUAUAUCAAAUCUUCUGAUUACUAUAGUAACUCAAGGAUCUUCCACUAUAGAGAAAUGCCCCCAAAUUUAAUAAAGGAGGAUUCAAUUAAGCUAAAAAGGACACGGUUUUCAAACAGAUUGAGAUCGAGAACCAGUUAAUGAUUGCGUGCUCGUGUCAACUACGUGAGGGAACAAGUUUUACCCUUAACAAAACAAAAGAAAGCCGCAAGUGCACAGCUAAUCAGUUGUAGUAUUUAGGGAUCAAAUCCAUUGAGAUUUGUGUGCCUGGUAUUCUUCUACGGUUUUUAACUUUAUGUCUAGACUAAAUUGGUUUUAAAGGUUGGUUGUUUUUCUCGAAUUAAACUAAGACAAAAGAAAGUAAAUAAAUCUAUCCUAAAAAGCAAGUAAAGAAAUCGAAUGAAAGGCAAUAGAACAAGUAAAAUAUCGAAUGAAAGACUAAUAAGGCAAGUAAAUAUCGAAUGAAAGGUAAAUAAAGCAAGUAAAUAACGAACUAAGGAAAUUGAAAUGCAGGUCUAAGAAAAGCAAGUAAAAAUCGAUGGAAUUGUAAACUAUGGCUAAAAACGCUGAGCUUUUGGGAACUCUAAGGGAUCAUAAUCGGUUUUAACACUAAGGUAGAUAGAUUGGGAUUGACGGAUAACAAUAUAUGGGUUCUAGAGCUAGAGUACGGCGGUAUGACUACGUCACUGUCGUGAUCAUAACCAACUGUUUCUCGCAACCCUGACCAGUAGGUUUCCACUCUGGCCUUGGAAGGGAGAGAACGCAAGAGCUGCACAAGACUCGUCAAUACUCACGAUCUCGCCGCAGGUAGGUUUCCACUCCUACGGAAAAAUCACCUGUUUCAUUCUAGGGCUGAUACUUAAUGAAAACUUUCGCAACACUAACUAUCUAGCUCAGAUUCGAGGUGAUCAAUCAAGCAUACAUGCAAUAAGAACAAGAAUAAACAGAGAACAGGUCGAAAUCCCAGAUCUAUAAACCUAGAUGUCUUAAUCGAUUAUGAGAGCCCCUUUCGGGAACCCUAAGCCCAACUCGGGACCUACUCAGACAUGGCUGAGUUCGACAUCAUCAUUGGUUUUAAUAAAAGUAAUGAAAAACAGUAAAGAAAAUAGAUAAAGAAAGCUUCUCUAUUGAAGAACUCGGACUUGAACAAUCUUCUACAAAAAUCUCAUAAAAACGGCUAAAGAAAAAAGGUUUCUGUAAAGUAUGUAAAAGCUCUCCUAAAAACGACCUAAAUGACAUGUAUUUAUAGUCUCCAAUACUCCAUGGUCUCUAGGGUUCCGGAAUUGAGGCUGGGAAUGACUUUCGGCUUCAGAUAAGUGGGCUUUAAGUCGGAGGUUGAAUGCCGCGGUCGGGAGUGUUGUGACCGCGGCAAUUGGCUUGUUGGCCGCGGUCAGGAAGCUUCUGACCGCGGCAAAUAGCUUGUUGGCCGCGGUCGCGUGAGUUGCUGGCCGACUCCGCGUGGCUUCAGGGCUAAUGGAAUAUCUUGAGAUCCAACCGUUGGAAUGUCUCCAAACCAAGUGCAUUUGAAAGCUGGUUGAUUCUUCUAUAAGUUGUCCAAUUUUGAGGGUGAUCAGACGGUGAGAAGGUCUUCGUCUCUCCAUGAGAGUUUUGACGGUCUGCAUUUAUCCAAAAGAGUCUUUUUGUUCCAUUUUGUGCCUCUUUAUCUCAAAUUACCUGAAAAGUCUUUUAAAAUCCGGAAACAUAGAAAUCCUUUGAAAACCUUUGAAAACGGAGUAAAAACACCUGUAAAAGAUAUUAAAAUGAUCCAUAAAAAUGGUCAAAAUCCGGUGUUAUCAACUCCCCCAGACUUAGUCUUUUGUUUGUCCUCAAAUAAAACAAAGGCUAAAUCUCGGCAAGAGGUUUGAAAACGCAGGAACUAAACAAAAUUUCAGAGACCAAACUUCUAGACCAAUAUCAAUCAGUAUGCAUCAAUCGGGAAUAGCCUAGAAAAUUCUCACUAGCAAUACAGGCAUAACUAGUCCGUUAAUCCGUCAUGCAGAAAUCUAUGCACUAAGAUCUAACUUCCAGUCAACUAGCUCUUAACAUUCAUUAAAAAUCUCGGUGGUUCUCAUCAAAGAAAAUCUAGGCAAGGCAAUCUAGGCUAGGUGUAAAGAAAGAUUAUUUUGGGGGUAUGGCUUAAAGUGUUUAAGGGUUACCUGAAUAUCUGGAGGAUGCAGGACAUUAUGCAAAACCGCAAGAGAGAGUGAAGCUGUUGGAUUCCACAAUUUUCAGUCACUUUUUCUCGACAUAGAUUCGUGGUCUUCUUCCUCAAGUUCUCUCCAAACUCCCCCAAACUUAGAUUUUUGUAAAUCUUUCAAAACAAUAGCUCCUUAAACGAAUAGUGGUUGCUCAUUGCUCCAUAAAUUUCGAAAAUCUAAGACUCAUUAAGUUUUUUUGUUUUCCUUUCUCUUUUCACGUUUUUUUUUUUUUUUUUUUUUAGAGAAAAGGAACACCUUUAGAUAUAGAGUCUUAGAGAGCACGAAUUUACCAGUUAAUAUCUGUCUUGUAAAGCUUUAUUAUGUUUCUGAUACUCUUCCUUCCCAAUUCCAUUCAGUCUCUUUUGCGAGUGACUGAAAACUGCGUCGCUCCUCUUCUCUCCGACGUUUUUGCACAUAUCUGCUGAUAUAAACUAAAGAGAGAAUGCAUGAGGAUAGAAAACAAAGGUUUUGGGUUUAGGGUAUGGUACCAGAUAAAGAUAAACUGGUCAUCUAGGACGACAAAGAGUGAUAAAAAUGAUGGUAAAAGACGUCCUAGAUGUGUAUGUCGAUGCCUGCCUAAAAUCAAUGAUGAGAAAAUUAGAUAUCAAUAUAAAGUCCAAAUAAAAUGAGCUAGUAUAUCCUGUUUGAAAGAAUCUCCAUGAAUAGAAGUCCUCUGGUGGGAGUUCGUAGUGCAAGUACUCUAUCUACCGCCUAGUCUAGUGCUAACCACAAAUGAGCUAUCAUGCAUAGUGUAGAAGUGUGCAGGUCUAAAUCAUCAUAGUUUUGCGUCAAACAUUCCUGAAAAAAUAUUUAAUGUCGAAUAGGUUACAUAUUAAAAUUUAAAAAAAAUACUUGAAAUUUAAAAGCAAAGGCAGGAAAAUAAUUAGUACGGAUAGACAUUCUCCCCCAGACUUAAAUCACACUGUCCCCAGUGUGAAAAAGUUGGUGAAAUGAUGGUGAAUAAAAUCAAAAUAAGAUAAAAUAAGAUAAAAGAAAAGAAAAUGAUGAUAGAACCGUGAUGGUAGUGAAGUGCUGAUCAAUCACUCAUCCUCCGAAGUGUCGUCUGCGAACUGGUGCUGCUCCUGUAAGAAGGUGACAACGCGCUCAAAGCGUCGUCCCUGUCUCUCAACUCUGCGCUCCAGAUCGGAAUGAGUGUGUGAUGAUGUGAAUGAUGAGGCGUGGCCGGUCGGAAUGGAUGGCUGAAAAUGAGUACGGGCCGCAGCUGCAUCACGCCUCGCCUUGGCCACUAUCUACUGGCCAAUGGUGAAUGGUAAUCGAGGUACGGAUGACAGAAAAUCAUCGGAUUCCGGAGUCCAUCGAGGGCGUCCUCCGUUGCACAAUCUCGGGAUAGAUGAUGAAGGUAAGCGGACUCGGUGCUCCUCAGUGCCAGUGCAAUACUUGUAACCAAACCUGUCUGGAUCGAAAGCGGCACGAGAGAUAGUGUGAUCGCGAGAGAGAUAAAGUAGAUCAUACCAGACAUCGGGAAGUGGAUCAUCAGAUGAGAAAUCGAAUCCUACAGCCUGUAGUAUCGCUGUAAUAGCACUCCCGAAGGCUGGAGUAGCGUCAUCGCAACCAUGUAAAUCAUGCUUCACCUUUACUAUAUUCUGCGAUAUGAUCCAGGCAAAGCAGGCAAGUCGUGGAUCAUCCAUAAACGGAAUCUGAAGUGUAAUGAGCUCAGUCUUCAAGACACCUCCCAUGUUGGCUCUAGAGAAGAUCGUGUGUGCUAAAAGUUUGUGCACAACUCUCACUGCUGGGUGGCUAAGAAGGGCUGACUUAGAUCUCCCACUAUCGUAAGCUCCAUUACCCAUCUCUCUCCAUAGGUUAAGAUCAGGUUCAUCUUCAAGGUAGAUGCCAUCAAUGUAUGGUGAGAGAAUAAGGCUGUCCGCGGAUGGAGAAUGACAAGAUGCCAUCUGAUGCUCUGGGGUUCCUCCUCUUCGUGUGGUGGAGUGUGACGGUCGCUAAAAGCUCAAGGACUAGCUCAGGAUAAGUCGGAAGGUUCAGCUCCAAGUAAGGUGUCAGCUUAAAUGCAUCGAUGUACCAGAUCACAUCCUCUCUGAUUCCAAGAAUCUCGAGUGUAUGAUAAUCAAUGCAAGGCGUGGGUUUGAUGUUCAGCUUCUUGAAACGCCUUGCAUAGUCCACUCUCGGGUUCGUCUCCCUCCCAAUGUAUCGAAUCUGUUGAGGCUCGGGAGGUGCUCGUGUUUCUCUUGAGUGCUGGAGCAAUCUCAUCACAUAGCUUCUUCUUCUCGGUCUGGCUUGGUUCAGCAUGUACUCUCCUAGAGUAGCAUCGUCGGGAAUGUCAUCGGAGCUGCCACCAGUUCGACGGCUCCUUCGGGAUCUGGUUUCAUCCAUUUUCUGCAAAAUGAAAUGAUUCUUGGAAAAAGAGUGAAUUUGGGUGCUAAUUUUAACACAUUAAGAUCUGUUAUACUAAUACUAGUAUAAAGAGAUUAAUUAAAAUUAUUAGCAAACAGAAUUGAUAUUAAAUCAGAGAAAUCAAGUAGUUCAUGACUAAAUUCGGAUUUUUGAUGUUCUCAACAUAGAAAUCUUCUAAAAAUCGGUUUUUAUGAACAAUUUCCAUGUGAAUUCUAAAGAUUACCCAAUACUAAUCACAAAUCACACAAGACUAAAUCAAAUUCAUCAAUUUUGCUGUACCAAAUUCGAUUUUUAUGAAGCAUGUAGAAUCCAAAUUUCAAAAAUCUCAAUUCCUCUUAAGCUAGGUGCUAAAAUCGAUUUUUAAAUAACCUAAAUGGAUAAUCUAUCAUUCUUAAGCUAUUUCCACCAUCAAUAGACCAAGAUUCUGGGUUUUUAACGAAAACCCUAAGUUCAAAAUCGAGUAAGAAUGGUGAGUUUGAGGUUCAUACCUUGCUGGAAAGAGAGAAUUGAUGGCAAAAUUGAAAUUAGCUUUGAAAAAGAGUGAGGUUUGAGCCAAAAAUCUUUUAAAAAAAACUUAAGAAUUGAAAAAUGUGUUCUUUCUCCUAAAUCUCUAAGUCUUUUGGAAGAGAAGAGAAGAAAGAGUUUUGAUCCAAAAAGUUUGUUUCUUUUCUUUAAAAAGCAUUUUUGAAGCAAAAACGGAAAAUUUCUGGAAAUUUUUAAGUUUACGGGAACUUACCUUUUCUUGUUUGCACAUUAGAAAAGUUUAAAACUUACGGAAGAUCUUUUCGGGUUUUACCGGGAACAUUUCGGGAAAUCCCGGGAAUCACCAGGCAGAACCGAGAAAUGGCAGAAAUCCGCGGAACCAUCUCAACGACUAACGGUCGCGGUCAGGAGACGCGCGACCGCGGUGGAUGAAGGCUCAGCCGCGGUCACAUUUCCAGCGCCGUGGUCGAUGCAUUCUUGGUCGCGGUCAGGUCUGUUGCGACCGCGGGUCUUCCUCUUGCGGCCUAUUGUCCAAUCUUCUCGUCUUUGCCAGGCCGAGCAGCUAAAGACCUAUCUUUUUCUUAUUGGUUUUUCUAAUUUUCUGAUUUUUUGUGUUUUUUUUUGUUUUAUAAAAUACCUAAUACUUAAAAAGAAAAAGAAAGCAUAAACUCUAAAAGGGAAAAGAAAAUUAAAAGAAAGAGUACCUAAAUGGGUUGCCUCCCAUUAAGCGUUUUUGUUUUAAGUCGUUUAGCUCGACGUAAGCACGAGGAAUCAGGCUGAUUUGAAUGGCACUCCACUUGAUGUGCCUUUAUCACUUCCGGUUGGUGGAGGUUUUACUUCUUCUCCUUGAAGAGAAGUUUUCUUACCUUUAAUCUUCUUUCGUACUUUAAUGUUGUUCAGAACCCUUUUUGUGUUUUCGAUCAGCUCCUGUAUUUGAUCUUCACUAGUUUCUGUUGCGUCCGGUGGAAUGAUGAUCUUGAUCUUUGCAAAAGCUUUCGGCUUCUCCUUUUCUUUCUCUUUUGGCCUAUUUCCUUUGCUUGGAAAUUCAUCUAAGAUAGUAGGAUAGUACCUUUUUCUGUCCACAUUGAGGAAAACAGCAUGCCGGUUUGCGUGAUCGAUAAUUGCUCAUACUGUAGCUAGGAAUGGUCUCCCGAAAAUGAGUGGCCUCUCCUUGUCUUUAUCCAUCUCUAAGACUUGGAAAUCUGCUGGAACAAUCUUAUCUCCCACUAGAACUUGUAGAUCAUGAAUCGCCCCUUCAAUAUCUUUUUGAGAUGAAUCUCCAAAAAUUACCUUAACCGUCGAUGUCCUUAAGGUUUUUAUGCCCAAUUUUUCGACAAAUGCCUUAGACAUGAUGUUGACAUUGGCUCCGGAAUCGCACAAGCAGUCUGUAAACUUGAUUCCUGAAAUGAAACAUUGGAAAACAAAACGUCCCGGAUCAUCGCCUUUGGUAAGCCUUUGAAACGGUGAUUGUUCGGGUACCUUAAACGGUGGCUGCUUGGGAUCGAUAUCCUUGUACAGUGGUACAAAGAUCGGGGUUUCUUCUUUCUUUCCAUCGGUUCCGGACUCUUCUUCGGGCAAUGAGGUUAUGGCGUUGCAAAACUUCUUAGGGUUAUCUUCAACUCUUCCUGGAAGAACUCCACUUUGCCUCUUCAUAGAGUCGGCUGUUUGGGCAACCUGCACAUCUAACCUUUUUACGUGCGAAGAUAAAGAUUCAAACUUACCAUUCAGAUCAUUGUACAUGCAGUCCACUUUCACGUUCACGUCUUUAGAUGCUUUUUCGUUCGUCAUAACGAGUUGUUGGAUUGACUGUUCAAGUCUACCGAUUUGUGAAGCUAGCUGGUUCGUCGUGACUCCCUGCUGUUGUACGAAUUGAUUGUUAAAACCCGUACCUUGGUAGUUAUAUGGCUGUCGCGGUUGGUAUGGUACUAUUCCUCCAAAGUUUCCACCUUGAAACUUGUUUUGGAAGGAUUUCUGCUGAGGUGGGUAGUACUGAUCUUGAGGAUUCUCCACAUUUGGAUUGCGGUAAGAGAGAUUGUUGUAAUUUGCAUUCCGGAAGUUGUUGUUGAAGUUGUUGUUGGAGCGAUUUUGGUAGGGCACCAGUGCUCCUACGUAGUUCACAUCUUCUUCUUGAAAUGCUUGAUUAAUGUGAUCGAUAUCACUAGGUCCUUCCUCUUCUGCGCCAUUGUUGGUUUCACAAGCAUGGAUCGGGCGAUUGUUGCUCCUCAGAAGCUGGCUCACCAUGUUCUUCAACUCGGUUAUCUCCUUGUUGUCUGUUCCGGCUUGCUUCAUCGAUCGAUCAUAUUCAGGACAAUCAUUGCUAUUGGCUUGAGCCAAAUUUUCGAUGAGGGCUCUUCCUUGAGUUAUCGUCUUUUGCCCAAAAUCUCCAUUGCUAGCUGUAUCAAGUGAAAGUUUGUAUUUUGGUUGCAAACCUCGAUAAAAUGUGCUCAGCAGGCUUGAUCCAUGAAAUCCAUGAUGAGGGCAAUCACGUUCAUACUCCUUAAAAAGUUCCCAAGCUUCAUAGAAAGAUUCAGUUGGCCCUUGUUGAAAAGUUGAAAUCUUCGUUCUCAGAUUGUUCGACCUUGACUUAGUGUAGAAGUGGUUCAAGAAAGUAGUUCUACAUUCUUCCCAAUUAGUAAUCGAUCCUGCAGGCAAAGACUUCAACCAACGGUGAGCUUUAUCUGCUAAUGAAAAAGGGAACAACUUACACUUUAAAUAGUCAGGUGGAACUUGGUUUGUUCUCAUUAGGCUGCAAAUUUCUUCAAAAAGCUCGAUAUGGUCCAUUGGGUGCUCAGAAGGAACUCCAUGGAACUGGUUUUGCUUCACCAAUGAGAUGAUUUGAGGCUUGACUUCAAACUCAUUCCGGUUUGGAAAUGGUACUUGAAUCGCAGAUCGAUUCUGAAAAUUUUGAGUAGGUGCAUCAAAGUCAGCUAUGCGAUGGUUUCUGGCUUGUCUUUGGUGUUGAUUUGCUGGUGGAAUGGGGCGGUGAAUGCGUUCAUUCAGCUGCAUUGCUGGAUGGUCACCAUCGGCUACAUUGAUGGGUGGAUCAAGGUCUUCACGUCCUUCUCUCUCUCGGUUUUGGUGGUUUCUUGGAAGAAUCUCAUCCUCCUCUCCAUCUUGUCGAGCAUGAUCACCUUCUAUGCGAUCAUUCUCUUUGUUUUCUCCAUGUUCGGACCCUUCUUGGUCCAUAUUUAAAUUUCGAUUGAUAGGAUCUCCAGGCUGGUCGUCGUUGGCCAUUCCUUGCGUUCGUCUAAGUCUUCGAAGUUCUAUUUCGUGUCUGUCUAUCUCGUCUAGAAUUGGAAUGUCUCCUGCAGGUCUACGCCUGGUAUUCAUGCAAUUCAGAGAAAGACAAAUGAAGGGAAAGAUAGUUCAGAAAAACUUUAAGAAAGAACUAGAGAUCAGGUGUCUAGAACAGAAGUUAAAACAAGAAAAAUAGCAAAAGGCAGCGAAACAAAUCCCCGGCAACGGCGCCAAAAACUUGAUUGCAUGCUCGUGUCAACUACGUGAGGGAACAAGUUUUACCCUUAACAAAACAAAUGAAAGCCGCAAGUGCACAGCUAAUCAGUUGUAGUAUUUAGGGAUCGAAUCCACAUAGAUUUGUGUGCCUGGUAUUCUUCUACGGUUUUUAACUUUAUGUCUAGACUAAAUUGGUUUUAAAGGUUGGUUGUUUUUCUCGAAUUAAACUAAGGCAAAAGAAAGUAAAUAAAUCUAUCCUAAAAAGCAAGUAAAGAAAUCGAAUGAAAGGCAAUAGAACAAGUAAAAUAUCGAAUGAAAGACUAAUAAAGCAAGUAAAUAUCGAAUGAAAGGUAAAUAAAGCAAGUAAAUAACGAACUAAGGAAAUUGAAAUGCAGGUCUAAGAAAAGCAAGUAAAAAUCGAUGGAAUUGUAAACUAUGGCUAAAAACGCUGAGCUUUUGGGAACUCUAAGGGAUCAUAAUCGGUUUUAACACUAAGGUAGAUAGAUUGGGAUUGACGGAUAACAAUAUAUGGGUUCUAGAGCUAGAGUACGGCGGUAUGACUACGUCACUGUCGUGAUCAUAACCAACUGUUUCUCGCAACCCUGACCAGUAGGUUUCCACUCUGGCCCUGGAAGGGAGAGAACGCAAGAGCUGCACAAGACUCGUCAAUACUCACGAUCUCGCUGCAGGUAGGUUUCCACUCCUACGGAAAAAUCGCCUGUUUCAUUCUAGGGCUGAUACUUAAUGAAAAAUUUCGCAACACUAACUAUCUAGAUCAGAUACUAGGUG
rnacentral:lncRNA from 1 species